UGCGGACCAAAAGCUCCUGCCAACCUAGCAGUUCGAAAACCUGCAAAUGUGAGUAGAUCAAUAGGUACCGCUCCGGCAGGAAGGUAAUGGCGCUCCAUGUACUCAUGCCAGUGGCCACAUGAUCUUGGCGGUGUCUACGGACAACGCCGGCUCUUCGGCUUAGAAAUGGAGAUGAGCACCAACCCCCAGAGAUAUUGUGGGAUUUUCUGAGUUAUAUGGCUGAGUGGAAGGGCCCUUAGAGGCAAUGACAUUCAUACCUUCACUCAGCCAUGCACAGAACUUACUCUAUGUCCUGGAGCCCGUCUCUUGUUUCUUUCCUGUCUGCCUAACCGACUUAAUAGGGUCGCGGUGCGAGCAACAUGAAGAGAGACAAUGCUGCAUAACUGCCUUCAACUCCUUGGUGGAAAGGUAGGAGUAUCAACAAAUGAGUGGUGCUAUCUUCUGCAUUUUACUAAAAAAUACCUACAGUUGCACUAAUAGAGACUGGCAGAUCUUUCCAUCCGUAGGUUGUCCCCACCACUUCAGUUCUGUCAUCUCCAGAAGUUGUUUACCCACCUGCCCAGGUUUUGAUCACUCCAAAAUGCAGCCCCAAAAAUCAAGGACCCCGUAUGUGCUCCCAAUGACAGCACCACUGUUCCACUUUAACAACCACGGUUCUAGUUUAAGGCCUUUUGGAUUGAAGUUUGGUCAAGUGCUGGGUCACUCCAGCUGAGAAUCAUGAGUAGGCUUCUCCUAAACUGCAAAUCCCAGGAUCUCAUAGGAUGAAACCGGCAGUUAAAGUGGAAUAAUUGCAGUAUAAUUCUGUAGGGUGAACGGCCUGCCAAAGAGAAAAGUGCUAGACGGGGAUUAUGGGGUUUGGUCUCCUUUGAGACAGUCUGAAUUUUCAAUUGUGCACUGAAAUGUGAACUUAUCCAGGGUGUUCUUCCCAUGAGUUAUGUUUGAAUGUUUCCUCACUUUCAUUCUGAGGAUGGAUUCAAUGUGUAAAGACAUCCAAUUACCUGGUGCCUGAAAGUGCGCAUUAGCUCAUGCUGAUGCACUGCUGUCCAAAACUAUAAUUCUUUCUUUAGGUUUGAAUUCUCACUCAGCUGUUACAGAUAAUACCAGAUAAAAACAAUAACAAUAUACAAUACAUCAAUAAACAAAAAACAUACACAAAUUAUAAAAUUUGAAACAUUAACCUAUAGAAAUAAAAAACACACUCAAUAAAACAUGGAAUUAAAAACAGCAAGGUUAUGAUAAUAGACUAGGUAAAGUGCACAUUAUAAAAGUUGUAAACUCAAAAUAACAGAAUAAAUUGCUGCAAAUUCGUUGGAGAUCAAUUUGGGAUCUUUGCCUCUGCAUAUAUCAUAUUAGCUUUUAUAUAGACAAUUUAAGCUCUUUGUAUGAGCCAAAGUAACAAAGGACCUGUGCUCUUCUCUUUCUCUUUGAGCUGGUACCUUUCUCUAGAAAGUUCCAAGGACAGAAGCUAGUUUGGAGUAAACAAGUGAGAUCGCAGACACCAAUCUGUGCCAAAGAGGUGUGGAGGUGAGGAAGACCCUCAGUAAUUGGUCAAGUUUAGAUAAGCCAAGAUAUAUAUUCUUUGUUUACUGCGGCACGCUUCGCAGUGGCCAUUUGCAAGUGCAGACCUUUUGUGUGUGUAGGGCUGUUUGCCUUCUCAUAGCUAUGAUGAAAAUAAACUUUUACUGGGUUUUACUGUCUGCAAGCCUCCUGAGCCAGGAUCCUUGGAGAUAAAUUGUACUACACUAGCAGUUCGAAAACAUGAAAUGUGAGUAGAUCAAUAGGUACUGCUCUGGCAGGAAGGUAACGGCACUCCAUGCAGUCAUGCCAGUGGCCACAUGAUCUUGGAGGUGUCUAUGGACAUGCAAAUGUGAGUAGAUCAAUAGGUACUGCUCCGGCGGGAAGGUAACAGUGCUUCAUGCAGUCAUGCCAGUGGCCACAUGACCUUGGAGGUGUCUACAGACAUGCAAAUGUGAGUAGAUCAAUAGGUACUGCUCCGGCGGGAAGGUAACAGUGCUCCAUGCAGUCAUGCCAAUGGCCACAUCACCUUGGAAGUGUCUACAGACAUGCAAAUGUGAGUAGAUCAAUAGGUACUGCUCCGACGGGAAGGUAACAGUGCUCCAUGCAGUCAUGCCAAUGGCCACAUCACCUUGGAAGUGUCUACAGACAUGCAAAUGUGAGUAGAUCAAUAGGUACUGCUCCGGCGGGAAGGUAACAAUGCUCCAUGCAGUCAUGCCAAUGGCCACAUCACCUUGGAAGUGUCUACAGACAUGCAAAUGUGAGUAGAUCAAUAGGUACUGCUCCGGCGGGAAGGUAACAAUGCUCCAUGCAGUCAUGCCAAUGGCCACAUCACCUUGGAAGUGUCUACAGACAUGCAAAUGUGAGUAGAUUAAUAGGUACUGCUCCGGCAGGAAGGUAACAAUGCUCCAUGCAGUCAUGCCAGUGGCCACAUGACCUUGGAGGUGUCUAUGGACAUGCAAAUGUGAGUAGAUCAAUAGGUACUGCUCCGGCGGGAAGGUAAUGGCACUCCAUGCAGGCAUGCCAGUGGCCACAUGACCUUGGAGGUGUCUAUGGACAUGCUAAUAUGAGUAGAUCAAUAGGUACUGCUCCGGCGGGAAGGUAACAGUGCUCCAUGCAGUCAUGCCAGUGGCCACAUGACCUUGGAGGUGUCUAUGGACAUGGGAAUGUGAGUAGAUCAAUAGGUACUGCUCCGGCGGGAAGGUAACAGCUCUCCAUGCAGUCAUGCCAAUGGCCACAUGACCUUGGAGGUGUCUAUGGACAUGGGAAUGUGAGUAGAUCAAUGGGUACCGCUCCGGCGGGAAGGUAACAGCUCUCCAUGCAGUCAUGCCUAUGGCCACAUGACCUUGGAGGUGUCUAUGGACAUGGGAAUGUGAGUAGAUCAAUAGGUACCGCUCCGGCGGGAAGGUAACAGCGCUCCAUGCAGUCAUGCCAAUGGCCACAUGACCUUGGAGGUGUCUAUGGACAUGCAAAUGUGAGUAGAUCAAUAGGUACUUCUCCGGUGGGAAGGUAAUGGCACUCCAUGCAGGCAUGCCAGCCACAUGACCUUGGAGGUGUCUACAGACAACGCUGGCUCUUCAGCUUAGAAAUGGGCACCAACCCCCAGAGUUGGGCACGGCUGGACUUAAUGUCAGGGGAAAACCUUUACCUAGGAAAGUCCAGAGGCCAUAAAUAUGGCCAUAAAGGGGUUGUUCUGACUGCUGGAGCUAAAUGCAGUCACUCAAUACCGAGAAACACCUGCACGACAACGAAACCAUGAUGUGAAAAACAGUGUCCCGGAGUCUUGGUUUCUAUUCUUAAGGGUCUCCAUGCCGUAUGCUCUCCGGUCUCUGCACAUACCAAGCAAGCAAAGUGACUAAGUUUUAUAGCAACACCUUUCAACUCUACUCAUAGUUUGUGCUGCAAAACCCAGACUCAGGUUUCCGUGAUGGUGUUUUGGAGGCCUCCUGUUGCUCAAAACUUACAGUUGGAGGAGGUUUCGAUCCUGUGUUACCAUUUGAAGAAGGGCUCUUGAAAUGAAUGUGACUUUCUUCGGCCCCUUCUUCACAAGCCUCUCAUUUCUAUACACUUUAAAGACAAAAUCCACUCCUUGCGCCACUGCCCAGCCUUUUACUAUUUUUUUAAUAUAUAUAAUGUUUAUUUAUUUUCAUUCAUUCAAAUAUACAUACAUUGCAAGUGUUUGUUGCAUACAAUGCAAUACUAUUUUAACCUCUUGUAUUGUUUUUAUUUGGUGGUUUUUACCUACCAUUAUAUUGUUGUUCAAAAUGUUGGUUUAAUCUGUGCCAUGUUAAAUGCAAAUUAUGUUUGUUUUUAUUGUGAAUGUAUUUUAUCUUGUUUUAUUGUGGAAAUGUGGGCUUGGCCCCAUGUGAGCCACCCUGAGUCCCUGCGGGGAGAUGGAGGAAGUGUACAAAAAUAAAUUUGUUGUUAUUAUUAUUAUUAGGGUAAAGGUAAAGGUUUUCCCCUGAUAUUAAGUCCAGUCGUGUCUGAAGAGCUGGCAUUGUCCGUAGACACCUCCAAGGUCAUGUGGCCAUAAGCAUGACUGCAUGAAAUGCUGUUGCCUUCCCGCUGGAGCGGUACCUAUUGAUCUACUCACAUUUGCAUGUUUUCGAACUGCUAGGUUGGCAGAAGCUGGGGCUCACUCUGCUCCCCGAAUUCGAACCUGUGAACUUUUGGUCUGCAAGUUCAGCAGCUCUGCACUUUGACACACUGCGCCACCAGGGUUCCCUGUUGUUGUUGUUGUUGUUGUUGUUGUUGUUAUUAUUAUUAUUAUUGUAUGACACAGCAAACAAGAUAGAUAUGCUGGAUUUCGCUCCCUGGAUUUGAACUCCCAAUGUUUUGGUCAGCAAGUUCAAUAGCUCAGCGGUUUAACACGCUGUGCCAUCGGAAGCUCCGACGUGGCUGGCAUGACUGCAUGGAGCGGCGUUACCUUCCCGCAGAAGCGGUACCUAUUGAUCUACUCACAUUUGCAUGUUUUCAAACUACUAGGCUGGCAGAAGCUGGGGCUAACAGCGGGUGCUUACUCUGCUCCCCGAAUUCGAACCUGUGAACUUUUGGUCUGCAAGUUCAGCAGCUCUGCACUUUGACACACUGCGCCACCAGGGUUCCCUGUUGUUGUUGUUGUUGUUAUUAUUAUUAUUAUUAUUGUAUGACACAGCAAACAAGAUAGAUAUGCUGGAUUUCACUCCCUGGAUUUGAACUCCCAAUGUUUUGGUCAGCAAUUUCAGCAGCUCAGCGGUUUAACACGCUGUGCCAUCGGAAGCUCCGACGUGGCUGGCAUGACUGCAUGGAGCGGCGUUACCUUCCCGCAGAAGCGGGAAACACGGUACCACCAAUCCCAGAGACAACAGAAGCCUUUGACUAGCUUAGGCUUCACAAAGAAAGAGGCCUGAGACAGUCCUUGGGCUCCAGCUUGCGAGCCAUUGCUUCACACCAGAGACAGAGGACUUUCAAAGACUCCAGAGAGAUGCCUGCAAUCAGCAAAAUCUCCCUUUGUAAUGUAUUGUUUUAAGCUAUCUUUCAGUAUUCAUUUUGCUUUCAGUAAACUCAUUUGGGUCAUCUUUUCA